rnacentral:rRNA from 1 species
UACGUAGGGGGCUAGCGUUGUCCGGAUUUAUUGGGCGUAAAGCGCUCGUAGGCGGUUUGUUGCGUCGUCUGUGAAAUCCCGAGGCUCAACCUCGGGUCUGCAGUCGAUACGAGCAAACUAGAGUGUUGCAGGGGAGACUGGAAUUCCUGGUGUAGCGGUGAAAUGCGCAGAUAUCAGGAGGAACACCGGUGGCGAAGGCGGGUCUCUGGGCAACAACUGACGCUGAGGAGCGAAAGCGUGGGGAGCGAACAGG